rnacentral:rRNA from 1 species
GUGGAUUAUGUGGAUUAAUUCGAUGCAACGCGAAAAACCUUACCUGGCCUUGACAUGUACCGAAUUUACCAGAGAUGGUUUAGUGCUCGAAAGAGAACGGUAACACAGGUGCUGCAUGGCUGUCGUCAGCUCGUGUCGUGAGAUGUUGGGUUAAGUCCCGCAACGAGCGCAACCCUUGCCAAUAAUUGCCAUCAUUUGGUUGGGCACUUUAUUGGGACUGCCGGUGACAAACCGGAGGAAGGUGGGGAUGACGUCAAGUCCUCAUGGCCCUUAUGGCCAGGGCUUCACACGUAAUACAAUGGUCGGUACAGAGGGUCGCCAACCCGCGAGGGGGAGCUAAUCCCAGAAAGCCGAUCGUAGUCCGGAUUGCAGGCUGCAACUCGCCUGCAUGAAGUCGGAAUCGCUAGUAAUCGCGGAUCAGCAUGUCGCGGUGAAUACGUUCCCGGGCCUUGUACACACCGCCCGUCACACCAUGGGAGUGGGUUUUACCAGAAGUAGGUAGUCUAACCGCAAGGGGGGCGCUUACCACGGUAGUAUUCAUGACUGGGGUGAAGUCGUAACAAGGUAACCGUA